UACCAAGCUGCCAGCUAGUUGCCAAC
rnacentral:misc_RNA from 1 species